rnacentral:snRNA from 1 species
GUGUUUGCUUCAGCAGCACAUACACUAAAAAAUUAUAAUAGCACAGAGAAGAUGAGCAUGGCCCCCGUGUAAGGAUGGCUCUCAAAUUCAUGAAGUGUUCCCUGUUUUC